rnacentral:rRNA from 1 species
UGGGGAAUUUUGGACAAUGGGCGAAAGCCUGAUCCAGCAAUGCCGCGUGUGUGAAGAAGGCCUUCGGGUUGUAAAGCACUUUUGUCCGGAAAGAAAUCCUUGGCUCUAAUACAGUCGGGGGAUGACGGUACCGGAAGAAUAAGCACCGGCUAACUACGUGCCAGCAGCCGCGGUAAUACGUAGGGUGCAAGCGUUAAUCGGAAUUACUGGGCGUAAAGCGUGCGCAGGCGGUUUGCUAAGACCGAUGUGAAAUCCCCGGGCUCAACCUGGGAACUGCAUUGGUGACUGGCAGGCUAGAGUAUGGCAGAGGGGGGUAGAAUUCCACGUGUAGCAGUGAAAUGCGUAGAGAUGUGGAGGAAUACCGAUGGCGAAGGCAGCCCCCUGGGCCAAUACUGACGCUCAUGCACGAAAGCGUGGGGAGCAAACAGGAUUAGAUACCCUGGUAGUCCACGCCCUAAACGAUGUCAACUAGUUGUUGGGGAUUCAUUUCCUUAGUAACGUAGCUAACGCGUGAAGUUGACCGCCUGGGGAGUACGGUCGCAAGAUUAAAACUUAAAUGAAUUGACGGGGUCNUAGCUG